rnacentral:rRNA from 1 species
AACGUAGGUGGCGAGCGUUAUCCGGAUUUACUGGGCGUAAAGCGUGUGCAGGCGGGGUAUCAAGUGGUGUAUGAAAUCGCUCGGCUUAACCGGGCGCGGUUAUGCCAGACGUGAUACUCUGGAGUGCGGGAGAGGGCGUGGAAUUCCGGGUGUAGUGGUGAAUGCGUAGAGAUCCGGAGGAACCCAGAGGCGAAGGCGGCGCCCUGGCCCGACCACUGACGCUCAGACACGACAGCAUGGGAGCGAACGGGG